GAUGACACAUUAAUUAAUUGCACAUUUAUCUUUUUCAAAAGUAUCGAGUAAUCACACUGAUUAUCUGUGCUUAGUUUAAAGGAGCUAAAUUGCUAACAUUUUGGACCUAGAAAUUGACAAAAGUGGGUCGCAACGCAUAUAAUACCUUAAUAUGAAUGUAUAUAAACUGAUUUACAUUCAAUGGUUUCCGUUUUUACUCCAAUUUCAAAUCAGUUAUGUUCGGCGAAAUAAGCCAGCAGUCUCAAGCGAGUGCAAAUUUCUAGCGUCUGGUUAUUCCAGUCUGCAUACGCCGUUUGAUUUGGUGCAAUGUGUCUAGCCUCGUUCCUCGAGUCUCUUGAUACAACUGGGGCUGAAGCGCACUAUGGUACACGAUUCGUGUACCAAUGUUAAAACGUUUAUUUUGUCUUAAAUAUUGGAUAUCAAAAGCCCAUCUUUUUCCGGUAAGAUCACAACAUGAAUGUUGAUUUAAUUUGACAAAUAAAUCGUGUUUUCAAUGUUGAAGAUUUUGGAUGAUAUUGAGUUAGAGACUUAGCUCCUUUAAGCAGUAAAUGUUCACUAUCAAACUCAGAUUUUGAAGUACCUUUAAUGUUAAUCAUAGAACUCAGCCAAGACAUUCGCCUAAUGAACAUCUAUACCUCAAUUAAAAGCAGAAUUGUUAGGUUUCAAAGUCUUGACUAAUCAAAUUUCUUAUGCUUAUCGCUACUUAACCUAAGCAGAAAAUUCUCAUCAUCGAACUUAGUCAAUGUAUUGAUAUAAUGAAUCUACACUCAGGAGUUUCAUCGCUCUCAUCCAAUUAGAACCCAAGUUAUCGUGUUCCAAGGUCUCAACCAAUCCAAUUGCUCAUCGCUGCUUAGCCUUAGUGGAAAAUGCGCAUGAACGAACUAUGUCAAGGAAUUCACGUAAUAGACGCCUACACCAAUUUUGAACAUUCUACCUCAAUUAGGAGAGUUAUUGUGUUCCAAAGUCUAGACCAAUCAGAGUAAAAUCCCUACUUUGCCUAAGCAGAAAAUGCCCAGCAUCGAACCUUGUUAAGGUAUUGAUGUCAUAAAACUAUAUACGAAGUUUCACAUAUAUCACACAAUUGGUAACAAAGUUGCAGAACUCCAAAGUCUUGACCGAACAAAUUUCUGAUCACUUUGCUUACCCUGAGCUGAAAAUGCUCUCAUAAUCAAACUUAGCCAAGGUAUUGGUGUGUUGAAACUAUACACCAAGUUUCAUCACUCUCACUUAAUUAGAACCAAAGUUAUCGUGUCCCAAAGCACCAGCCAAUCAAAUUGCUUAUCUCUGCUUACCCUAAGCAGAAAAUGCCAAUCUUUGAACUCCAUCAAGGCAUUCAUCCAAUCAACGCCUACACCAAGUUUGAACAUUCUACCUUAAUUCGAAGGAUAGUUAUUGUGUUCCAAAGUCUCGACCAAUCAAAUUGCUUAUUGCUCUGCUUACCCUGAGCAGAAAAUGUUCUUUAUCGUUCUUAGUCAAGGAAGGUAUCAAUGUAAUGAAACUAUACACCAAAUUGCAACAACCAACCCUAAGCAGAAAUGCUCACCUUCGAACUCCAUCAAGGCAUUGAUCUAAUAAACACCUACACCGAAAGGCGGGGGACAACAAAGAACACAAGAGAUGAGUUUUCAGGGUGAUGCUAAAACACAGGAGAGACUUGAUAAUUUCUAAAUACAUUUCAGAUCGACCUAAUUCGCCCAGAAUGGCAAAAUUUGAACAUUUUGUGUGUAGCCCUAAAAGCAAUUUACAAAAUUUACCAUGUAGCUUAUCCGAUUCUGUAUCGUUUCUAAAGAGAAACAUUUUUUGAACUUGGGACUAAGUAUAUUAAAAGCUGACCAUAUUGCAUUACCAUCCACUAUUAUGGGCUAAACUGAUUAAAUAAUGGUGUGAUCAAACAUAUGCAAACUGGUUUUAAUCUGCGGAUUUAAAGAGAAUACAUGUACAUCUUUACACAAUAUAAAAUAUGCAUUUAAACUUUUACGAUGUAAGCUCGACGGGAACAGAAACCUGACGACGAAAAUAUUACACCAAGAUAUAUCGGUAAAAUGAGACAUUUUCAAGUGUGAUACCAUGAAAUACAAAAUCUUAUUUAAGUAAUCGACCAGUUUUGUUGAAAGAUACAAAUUUUUGAUUUAUCAAUAUUUACUGAAAGAGACCAGUUUUUUUUUCAAAAGUGGUCUACUUUAUCAAGUUUAGAUUGUAAUCCACUUUUAGAUAAGAUCACCACGUCAUCAGCAUAAAUAAAGCAAUGGGUUAUAAUGUUGGGUCCAAGAGUGACUGGAUCAGAGCAGUUGGGAGAAAUAAAAAGGUGUGUGUUUCAAUAAGCCAAUGGUUGAAUUUCAUUGAUGACAUGCAAGCAAAAUUUCUGGAAGAUUUUCUAGAAUAAAGUUUUGAGGUCAGAAUUUUUGGCCACUGCUGCAAAGAGGGUCUAUUCCCCAGGAAAUAUUAAUUCGCAGUGAGUCGCCCAGACUGUUCUACUCAUUCGACACCGCUUUUCGACCAAUCAGAAUCCACGAAAUUGCACUUUCUAAAUAGCUAGUCCAUUGACAAAUUAUAUUAUUAAUGUCAACCGACCGUGGCGUCAGCUUUGACAAUAGAAGUAUCAUCUUACGAUAUUAGAAUAGGAUAGCACGUAAUACUCUUCGAGAUGCUGUACGACGAUGUUUUAAAGUUGAUUGGAGAGUUUGGGCGAUACCAGAAAAUUCUGAGUAUUCCUGUGUGUAUCGAACCCCUAUCUUUAGCUUUGAUGGUAAUGGUGACGGUAUUUUCCUUAGCUACUCCGCCACACAGGUGUAAAUUACCAGGAUUUGAAAACGACACUUACCAUCAACAAAGCGAUUACCAUGGCAACCUUAUAAACCAAUCCAUACCACAAUCUUCUAGCUGUCUACUACGUAAUACUACAGUUGAUAAAUAUGGUAAUAUGACGUCAGUGGAAUAUAAAUGUGGUUCUUGGGUUUAUGAUACUUCUACGUACAUGUCAACUCUAGUUACUGAGUUUAAUAUGGUUUGCGACGAUGAUAUUUUAAGAAAUAAUGCUAUUAUGAUCACGUUCCUGGGACUGGUAUUCAGUUGCUCUAUAAUAAGUAACUUUGCUGAUCGAUUCGGUCGUUAUCCAGUAAUGGUCAUUUCUAACGUCUUGGUUGUCACUUCUGCUUAUUUACUGGUUUGGACACCGAAUUAUAUUUUCUUGGUGAUUGUCAGAUUUUUUGUCGGAAUAGGAUUGGGUGGGCAAUUAAUAGCUAUCUUUACUAUUGGAGUGGAGAUUGUUGGACCUUCUAAAAGACGUUUUACUGGAGUUUUAUUUCACCUCGGAUGGUGUUUGGGUGUUUUAGUUAUAGCAAUGUUGGGCUAUUGUAUAAGAAAUUGGAGAUACUUACAGCUAGCUGCAGCCGUCUUGACGUCCCAUCACUUAUUCUAUUUCUUGUAUGUACCUAGGGCUAAAUCUAUUUGUUAAGGCCAGUUCUAUUUUUGUCAAGGUCGCGGAGAAAGAUUAAGGUUAGGGCACGUGAUUGUUGGCGAGAUUGUACGUUGGAGUUAAGAAUGUUACCUGAAAGUCCACGAUGGUUAUUAACACGAGGUCAACUUGAUAAGGCAAGAACAUUAAUCAAAAAGGCAGCCGAUAUCAAUAAAACGAUUAUAACUGAUGAUGUAUUAUUAAAAUUAAGAGUAUCAGAAACGCCCGCAACAGCAAAAUUUUGGAAACUUUGCUCAACAAGAAAAUUGACAGCAAGAACACUUGCAAUUUAUUUCGUGUGGUUUUCUGUGAGUGUCACGUAUUUCGGUAUAAUGCUAAACUUGGAGUUUUUGGUGGGAAAUAUAUACUUGAAUCUAUCACUAACAGCCGUCAUUGAAGUAAUCUGUUAUAUAUUUGUUAUGUUAAUGGUAGAUAAGUCAGGAAGAAAGAAACUGAUUUGUGGAUGUUAUUCUCUACAGAUUCUAUCAUUAAUAGCAGUCAUAUUUAUACUGUUAUACGUACCACCAGAUCUGAAUUGGUUGAUGACGGUAUUUACUUUGAUUGGUCAAUGUGGAACUAUAUGUAGUUUUGCUAUAGUUUGGUUGUGGACAAGUGAACUUUUCCCGACAGAAUUAAGAAAUGUUGGAACCGGUACCGGUUCCGCUUCAGCACGUGUAGGAGCUCUGGUUGCACCUUAUUUGGAAUUAUUGAGUAAAUUAGUUCCUGGGAGAUUUAAAGAGGUUUCGCCAUUUGUAUUUUUUGGCAUUAUUUGUAUGGUUUGCUUAGUCCUUAUCGUCUGUGUUUUACCGGAAACAAACAAACAAAAACUACCAGAUACUGUGGAUGAUGCGGGCCGAUUGGAACAUAGGUCUGGAGAAACAAGAGAUAAAGAUGAAACAGUUGAAAUGCUUGGUACAAAUUCUAAAUGCUGACAUCCAAAGAUAUAUGUUUAUUUGGGAGACAUUUCUGAUCCUUAUUUUUACCACUUUAUGGGAAACCGUUCGGCUCUUUAUAUGUGUAGUUCAAAAUUCCCCUCACAGAAAUUUUGCUUUUUAUAGUACAGCUGUAUAUACAUAUAUAUACAUGUUAUAGUAGUAGGUACAUAUUCGGACGAAACUUUACAAUUAGUCUGGGUGUCUUGGUUUUUAGGUGCCUUGUUUUUUCUGUAAAUUUAUAAGUAGUGUCUAUAAAAUAUUUAAGAACUUUAUGUGCUAAUUCAGUAUUUAAAGCACAACCAUAGUGAUAAUUUAUUUAGUUACUAAUAAAAAUUCACCACUUGCGAUGUGC